GACGAACGCUGGCGGCGUGCCUAAUACAUGCAAGUAGAACGCUGAAGGAGGAGCUUGCUUCUCUGGAUGAGUUGCGAACGGGUGAGUAACGCGUAGGUAACCUGCCUGGUAGCGGGGGAUAACUAUUGGAAACGAUAGCUAAUACCGCAUAAGAGUAGAUGUUGCAUGACAUUUGCUUAAAAGGUGCAAUUGCAUCACUACCAGAUGGACCUGCGUUGUAUUAGCUAGUUGGUGAGGUAACGGCUCACCAAGGCGACGAUACAUAGCCGACCUGAGAGGGUGGUCGGCCACACUGGGACUGAGACACGGCCCAGACUCCUACGGGAGGCAGCAGUAGGGAAUCUUCGGCAAUGGACGGAAGUCUGACCGAGCAACGCCGCGUGAGUGAAGAAGGUUUUCGGAUCGUAAAGCUCUGUUGUAAGAGAAGAACGAGUGUGAGAGUGGAAAGUUCACACUGUGACGGUAUCUUACCAGAAAGGGACGGCUAACUACGUG
rnacentral:rRNA from 1 species